AAUAGAUACCCAGGUAGUCCAUGCCGUAAACGUUGGGCACUAGGUGUGGGGCUCAUUCCACGAGUUCCGUGCCGCAGCAAACGCAUUAAGUGCCCCCGCCUGGGGAGUACGGCCGCAAGGCUAAAACUCAAAGAAAUUGACGGGGGCCCGCACAAGCGGCGGAGCAUGCGGAUUAAUUCGAUGCAACGCGAAGAACCUUACCAAGGCUUGACAUACACCGGAAAAGUGCAGAGAUGUGCUCCCCGUAAGGUCGGUGUACAGGUGGUGCAUGGUUGUCGUCAGCUCGUGUCGUGAGAUGUUGGGUUAAGUCCCGCAACGAGCGCAACCCUCGUCCCAUGUUGCCAGCGGGUUAUGCCGGGGACUCAUGGGAGACUGCCGGGGUCAACUCGGAGGAAGGUGGGGAUGACGUCAAAUCAUCAUGCCCCUUAUGUCUUGGGCUUCACGCAUGCUACAAUGGCCGGUACAAAGGGCUGCGAUACCGCGAGGUGGAGCGAAUCCCAAAAAGCCGGUCUCAGUUCGGAUUGGGGUCUGCAACCG
rnacentral:rRNA from 1 species